GGAGAGGUGGCUGAAAUGGCUGAAAGCACUUCCCUGCUAAGGAAGCAUGGGGCAACCCAUAGCAAGUACUCUUCGAGAACGCUGACGCUCCUUACGUGGCUACCGCUUCGCUAACGCGAACGAGUCCUGUCCUCUCCG
rnacentral:tRNA from 1 species